CCCCCAGGUGAUGCUUAUCUCACUCCCCCUUCCUGUCCCCUAAAAGCAGGGGGACCUCCUGUUUCACUCUCUCCCUGCAUCCCCCUGCAUCCCCCAUCACCACCAUCACCAUCUGCUCCUGGGCUCUCUUUGUUCUACCACGUGGCCAUCACCCACGAGGGGACAAAGCCAUCCCCAGCACAGUCAGCCACCUUUGCAGCCUGAUCAGCCAAAUUACUGCCAGGUACAUGCAGAGCUGUUCCCUUUGGAUGUCCUUUUACAUGGACCACAGCUGUCUCACUGGGCCCUUUUAGAGCCUCUAGUACCCAGGAGCAAAUGGUUCACCAGCCUGUGCCGAGCAAGUUGAACUCAACGUCCCAGCCCCUGUAACCUGCAGAGAGUCCCCAUCUGUUGGAGCAUAACCUGAAUGCCUUUGCCCUUCUUCUGCCCUGGGUGAACCAUCAGUAAAUGGCUUCCUUCC